rnacentral:rRNA from 1 species
GACGAACCGUGCGAACGUUGUUCGGAAUCACUGGGCGUAAAGCGCACGUAGGCGGAUUGCUAAGUCAGGGGUGAAAUCCUGGAGCUCAACUCCAGAACUGCCUUGAUACUGGCGACCUUGAGUCCGGGAGAGGUGAGUGGAACUGCGAGUGUAGAGGUGAAAUUCGUAGAUAUUCGCAAGAACACCAGUGGCGAAGGCGGCUCACUGGCCCGGUACUGACGCUGAGGUGCGAAAGCGUGGGGAGCA